rnacentral:rRNA from 1 species
GAUGAACGCUGGCGGCGUGCCUAAUACAUGCAAGUCGAGCGAACAGACGAGGAGCUUGCUCCUCUGACGUUAGCGGCGGACGGGUGAGUAACACGUGGAUAACCUACCUAUAAGACUGGGAUAACUUAGGGAAACCGGAGCUAAUACCAGAUAAUAUAUUGAACCGCAUGGUUCAAUAGUGAAAGACGGUUUUGCUGUCACUUAUCGAUGGAUCCGCGCCGCAUUAGCUAGUUGGUAAGGUAACGGCUUACCAAGGCAACGAUGCGUAGCCGACCUGAGAGGGUGAUCGGCCACACUGGAACUGAGAGACGGUCCAGACUCCUACGGGAGGCAGCAGUAGGGAAUCUGCCGCAAUGGGCGAAAGCCUGACGGAGCAACGCCGCGUGAGUGAUGAAGGUAUUCGGAUCGUAAAACUCUGUUAUUAGGGAAGAACAAAUGUGUAAGUAACUAUGCACGUCUUGACGGUACCUAAUCAGAAAGCCACGGCUAACUACGUG